ACAUCACCCCCUUCGAGGAGCUACGACCAUCUUUAACCACAACGCUGUCUAAGACCGUUGAUCAAGGUCCACUUUGGAUCAUUGACACCUUUUGUAAGAAUCAAACGAUUCCACCACUGCCUUACCAUUGUGCAUUAUGGUUAAGACUAGUGCACAUUAUUGGUGGAAUUGGGUGUGAUGAUCUGCAUAAUUGUACAGGGGUAACGUGUUCAGUUGGAUUGUUAUUAUUAUUACAGUUUAAAUGUUAUUUUUGUUGUCAAAUUCUGGUAACAUGUAACAACCAUCAAUCCAAGUUUGGAAUAGCUUUGGAAUCAGAUCUGUGUCAGUCAAGAAGAAUAAUGUUGCUAGAAAAUGGCUCUGUAGGCAGGGUCCUGUCAUAUUUUUGCAUAACGUUUAUAGGUUGAGAACUAACAUGUAUACACUUCAGAGAAUUACUCGUAUAUUUUUUGUUUGAUUUUGAAUUGGCUGGAAAUACGACAGCCAGUUUGCCUUCAGAUAGUUUUCUUAUGGGGUGGGAAUUUAGGCUUGUAAACUGGUUGUGAUUGG
rnacentral:lncRNA from 1 species